rnacentral:rRNA from 1 species
GACGAACGCUGGCGGCGUGCCUAAUACAUGCAAGUCGAGCGGAUUGAUGGGAGCUUGCUCCCUGAUAUCAGCGGCGGACGGGUGAGUAACACGUGGGCAACCUGCCUAUAAGACUGGGAUAACUUCGGGAAACCGGAGCUAAUACCGGAUAAUCCCUUUCCUCUCAUGAGGAAAGGCUGAAAGAUGGUUUACGCUAUCACUUACAGAUGGGCCCGCGGCGCAUUAGCUAGUUGGUGAGGUAACGGCUCACCAAGGCAACGAUGCGUAGCCGACCUGAGAGGGUAAUCGGCCACACUGGGACUGAGACACGGCCCAGACUCCUACGGGAGGCAGCAGUAGGGAAUCUUCCGCAAUGGACGAAAGUCUGACGGAGCAACGCCGCGUGAGUGAUGAAGGUUUUCGGAUCGUAAAACUCUGUUGUUAGGGAAGAACAAGUACGAGAGUAACUACUCGUACCUUGACGGUACCUAACCAGAAAGCCACGGCUAACUACGUGCCAGCCGCCGCCGUAA